rnacentral:rRNA from 1 species
CGUCGCCGCGGUAAAACGAAGGGUGCAAGCGUUACUCGGAAUUACUGGGCGUAAAGGGUGCGUAGGUGGUCUUUUAAGUCCGUUGUGAAAUCCCUGGGCUCAACCUGGGACCUGCAUUUGUGACUGUAUAGCUAGAGUACGGUAGAGGGGGAUGGAAUUCCGCGUGUAGCAGUGAAAUGCGUAGAUAUGCGGAGGAACACCGAUGGCGAAGGCAAUCCCCUGGACCUGUACUGACGCUCAUGCACGAAAGCGUGGGGAGCAAACAGGAUUAGAUACCCCCGUAGUCCCUGUCUCUUAUACC